rnacentral:rRNA from 1 species
GUGACUGCGAAGGGGGGACGGAGAAGGCUAGGCCAUCCGGGCGACGGUCGUCCCGGUUUAAGCGUGUAGGUGGGAGGAGCAGGCAAAUCCGCUCUUCUGUAAACACUGAGGCGUGAUGACGAGCCGCUACGGCGGUGAAGUGGUUGAUGCCCGGCUUCCAGGAAAAGCCUCUAAGCACCAGGUCACAGACAAUCGUACCCCAAACCGACACAGGUGGUCAGGUAGAGA